GUACGCCAGUAUGUGUGGAGCCGUCCUUGAAAUACCACCCUUGUAGUGUUGAUGUUCUAACGUCGACCCCUAAUCGGGGUUGCGGACAGUGCCUGGUGGGUAGUUUGACUGGGGCGGUCUCCUCCCAAAGAGUAACGGAGGAGCACGAAGGUGGGCUAAUCACGGUUGGACAUCGUGAGGUUAGUGCAAUGGCAUAAGCCCGCUUGACUGCGAGAAUGACAAUUCGAGCAGGUGCGAAAGCAGGUCAUAGUGAUCCGGUGGUUCUGAAUGGAAGGGCCAUCGCUCAACGGAUAAAAGGUACUCCGGGGAUAACAGGCUGAUACCGCCCAAGAGUUCAUAUCGACGGCGGUGUUUGGCACCUCGAUGUCGGCUCAUCACAUCCUGGGGCUGAAGUCGGUCCCAAGGGUAUGGCUGUUCGCCAUUUAAAGUGGUACGCGAGCUGGGUUUAGAACGUCGUGAGACAGUUCGGUCCCUAUCUGCCGUGGGCGUUGGAAGAUUGAAGGGGGCUGCUCCUAGUACGAGAGGACCGGAGUGGACGAACCUCUGGUGUUCGGGUUGUGUCGCCAGACGCAUUGCCCGGUAGCUAAGUUCGGAAUCGAUAACCGCUGAAAGCAUCUAAGCGGGAAGCGAGCCCUGAGAUGAGUCUUCCCUGAUACUUUAAGUAUCCUAAAGGGUUGUCGGAGACUACGACGUUGAUAGGUCAGGUGUGUAAGUGCUGUGAGGCAUUGAGCUAACUGAUACUAAUUGCCCGUGAGGCUUAACCAUACAACAC
rnacentral:rRNA from 1 species